AUUUAAGGUAGGUGGGUUCAGAGCACGGCGGCGGUUGCCAAGAGUUCCGUGCGUGCGACAAAGUGUCCAUUGGGCUUCCGACGAGUGCUGGAUCGGGGAACUUGAACGGUGGAGCAACGGAAUGCAAGGUUAAUGGGUGAGUAAAAUUUAGGGUUUGAUCCUGUUAUCAUGACUACCUUGAAAUGUAAUUUCAUUUGGGGAAAAAAGAAAAGUAAAAAUAAUAAUAUUAGUAGUAAUAAUAAUAGCAAUAAUAAUAAUAAUAUCUUCUGAUGCUACUAGUUGAUGAGAGUGUAGAUGAAUUUAGGCUUUUGAGGUUAGUAAUCUCUAUUUUUAUGGUUGUAUGGUGUCUUUAAUUGAUGGAAAUUUGAUUUAUGCUUGAUGUUAGGUGAUCAAUUCCAUCAUGAACGGUUUGAUUCAUUUCUACAAGGAGGUGGAACUUUAUGCAUGGUUUUUCUUUUUUUUGUCAAUAAACUUUAUGCAUGGUUUAGUUCUAGAACCUAGAAUGACAUAAUAGUUUAACUCUGAGAAAGUACAGAUAAGAGAGCCGUUAAUAAUUCAUGUGAUCCCCAUGAUUCUCUCCUCACUGGAUCGCACUGAAAUUUUUGAAUCUCCUGAAUAGUCUCACAUUCUAACACUUUUACGUUGUGGAAUGUCCUAGUGGAACCACUGUAUUUUUUUAGUUUUCAAAACCUUAGCCAAUUCUUUGAUGUAACGAGGUGUUCAUUAGCUUUUCCUUCAUGGGAAAGGUAAUUUUCAAAUGUCAAAUACAUACUGGCCAUCAGUUGUGCAUUUGUUUUGAUUAUCCUUUCAUGUUUUCUCCAAAAUAAGGUGGUGAAUUGAAAUAGUUCCAAGUACUAUGUAGGGGCA
rnacentral:misc_RNA from 1 species